rnacentral:lncRNA from 13 species
GUUCAUGUAAAAGGAAUGUAUGUAUUUAGGUUAAAAAGUAGACUGAUUUCUGCAGGAAAUAUUCUGCUGUAGCAUUCGCAAGAUUUGUAAAUCAAGGCAAAGCUCAAUAAAGCAUUUCCUAUUAUGAAGAGGCAGUGGAAAUAGUGAUCAAAAUAUAUUUAAAAUGUGACCUUUAUAUCUGGAAAUAAGGAUAUAUUGGUAUCUAUACAGACAGUAUCCCACCAAUCAUGGGCUUUAGGAAGGGUUUCACUUCUCUCUCUCUCUCUUUUUUUUUUUUAAUUAGGAUGUCACAUUAUUUUCAAAGAGAAGUGCCAGUGUAAACAAAUAUUCUAUGUGAAAUACAGAAUUUAUUGAGAAUAUUACAAGAAAAUUGUUUAAAAAAUAAAGAUCAGUUCACUCAGGAGUUUUAAAGAAGUUUGUGAAACCCUGAACAAAGAAUAUAUAAAUCUUGUGAAGCAUGUGGAAACUUGAUUGCUUACCCAAAGAAGAGUUCUCAAUAGGGUAUUUGAGCUGAAAGGUAAGUUGAAGAAAUCAUUUGCUAGGAAACUAUUGCUCAGGUUGUGUUGAGUGCUUUAAAGAUGAGUCAUGGCUACAAAAACUAAAGUAUCUCUCAGACAUUUUUGAUCCCCUGAAAUUACUGAGUAGGAAUCCACUCUGCACUGUGCACUGUAGUUUUUGUUUGUUUGUUUGUUUGUUUUUGCCUUUGAGUGACAAUAGCCCUGGUUUUCUGGUUUUUAAAGAAAAGUUAUUUGGAAAAAUCUUCAGAAAAUCUGUGGAAAAAUCAUUUUGCAACAGGAAAUGUUGAAAUGUUUCCACAACUUCUUGGACUUGGGAUGGAGAAAGAAAAUCAUAAUAUCUUGUCUUACUACAAACGACCUGAAAGGACUUCAGAUCAAAAUUGAAGAGUCAUUUACUCCCUUUUCAAUACAACUGCAUGGCUGGGUCUGGAUUUCUAUGAAAAAGGGUGUCCUAGCAAUGAACAUUUUGCUGUAGUUUUCCACAUUUUAUGUAGGACAUAUGCAGCCAGAUGCUGUGGCUCAGGCCUGUAAUCCCAGUAUUUUGGGAGCCAAAGUGGGAAGAUCACCUGAGGUCAGGCAUCCAAGAUCAGCCUGGCCAACAUGGUGAAACUCCGUCUCCACUAAAAAUACAAAAAAAAAAAAAAUCAGCUGGGCAUGGUGGCAGGCACCUGUAAUCCCAGUUACUUGGGAGGCUGAGACAGUUGAACUGCUUGAACACAGAAGGCAGAGGUUUCAGUGAGCCGAGAUUACUCCAUUGCACUCCAUCCUGGGCAUUAAGAGCAAAACUGUCUAAAAAACAAAUUUAAAUAGGACAUACUCCAUACCUUGUAUCUUUAGUAACUUUUCAAAUUCGAGCCUACAUGAAUAAGAAAAUAAAUAAAUAAUUUAUUUUAAAACA